UGUAUUUCUUUAAUUGUAAAAUAGUCACACCAAUAGUUGUUAUCUUUUCACCAAGCUUAUUGCUGAUGGUCUUGUAGCCCAUUCCAGCCUUGUGCAAAUCUCCAGUAUUGUCCCUGAUGUCCUCUGAUAGUUCUUUGGCCUCGCCCAUUUUGGUGGAAGACAUUAAUUCUGUAGACAGGUGUGCUUCAUAUACAUAAUGAGUUGAGAUCAGGAGUAUCUAUAAUUGUUUGACUGAUUAAGUGUCACAUGGGGACAACCUGAGUUCUGGCUGGAUUGUAUGCAGGGUGCGAACCCAUCAGAGACAAUGUGAUCUGAUCGUUUGUGUUGGCCACCCUGACAAGUUGGCGUCUCUAAAAAUCCAAGAGGCAGUGAAGCAGCAGUCCUCAGAGGUGUGAAUAAAGGAGAACAAGAAGGUGCAACAUCUAACCUUGUUGACCUCCCGAAGAGCAGCUUCAGCUUGGUGUCUUGUCAACUUUCCUCCAUACCAGCUGGAAUCCAAGCCCUGAGCGCACCAUGAUAGAACAGUCAGUAUUGGAUCAUCGCUCUCAUUGUCCUUACCGCAGCCCGGACAUGUGAUGCAAGCAGAGCGCAUGAGUGCAACUCAUGACAAAAGCAACUUUUUAAAAGUUUUCACAUGACGUAUUAGCUUGUGUGAGACCUCUUGGUAUCUCACACCCUGGUGAUAGAGGAGGGCAGCAGUGAGAAGGGGUGAUCAAUCACGCUCAGACCCCCCUGAGCCACUCUGGGAGAAUACACGAGUUCCCCUGGGGGGUCCUUGUGGCAGAACCCCCUACCUGUGUUUUCUUCUUUUGUCCUGAAUUGGAAACAUACCCCUGUGACAUGUAACUGCCACCAAAUGUGGUAUAAAUAAUAAAAAGAAAGUGAUGAACCA